rnacentral:rRNA from 1 species
UACGGGGGGGAGCAAGCGUUGUUCGGAUUUACUGGGCGUAAAGGGCGCGUAGGCGGCCACCGCAAGUCAAUUGUGAAAUCUCCGGGCUUAACUCGGAAAGGUCAACUGAUACUGCGGGGCUAGAGUGCGGAAGGGGCAACUGGAAUUCUCGGUGUAGCGGUGAAAUGCGUAGAUAUCGAGAGGAACACCUGCGGCGAAGGCGGGGUAGCUGGGCCGACACUGACGCUGAUGCGCGAAAAGCCAGGGGAGCGAACGGG